AGCGAACGCUGGCGGCAGGCCUAACACAUGCAAGUCGAACGAACCUUUCGGGGUUAGUGGCGGACGGGUGAGUAACACGUGGGAACGUGCCUUUAGGUUCGGAAUAACUCAGGGAAACUUGUGCUAAUACCGAAUGUGCCCUUCGGGGGCAAGAUUUAUCGCCUCUAGAGCGGCCCGCGUCUGAUUAGCUAGUUGGUUGAGGUAAUGGCUCACCAAGGCGACGAUCAGUAGCUGGUCUGAGAGGAUGAUCAGCCACAUUGGGACUGAGACACGGCCCAAACUCCUACGGGAGGCAGCAGUGGGGACUCUUGCGCAAUGGGCGAAAGCAUGACGCAGCCAUGCCGCGUGAAUGAUGAAGGUCUUAGGAUUGUAAAAUUCUUUCACCGGGGACGAUAAUGACGGUACCCGGAGAAGAAGCCCCGGCUAACUUCGUG
rnacentral:rRNA from 1 species